GGGUGGUAAUGCCGGAUGCUCCAGUUGAUCGCAUGGUCUUCUGGGAAAGCCUUUGCGGCAUGGGAUGGGGUCGCGUCCUAUCAGCUUGAUGGCGGGGUAACGGCCCACCAUGGCUUCGACGGGUAGCCGGCCUGAGAGGGCGACCGGCCACAUUGGGACUGAGAUACGGCCCAGACUCCUACGGGAGGCAGCAGUGGGGAAUAUUGCACAAUGGGCGCAAGCCUGAUGCAGCGACGCCGCGUGAGGGAUGGAGGCCUUCGGGUUGUAAACCUCUUUUGUUAGGGAGCAAGGCAUUUUGUGUUGAGUGUACCUUUCGAAUAAGCACCGGCUAACUACGUGCCAGCAGCCGCGGUAAUACGUAGGGUGCAAGCGUUAUCCGGAAUUAUUGGGCGUAAAGGGCUCGUAGGCGGUUCGUCGCGUCCGGUGUGAAAGUCCAUCGCUUAACGGUGGAUCCGCGCCGGGUACGGGCGGGCUUGAGUGCGGUAGGGGAGACUGGAAUUCCCGGUGUAACGGUGGAAUGUGUAGAUAUCGGGAAGAACACCA
rnacentral:rRNA from 1 species